GGCUGGGCCCUGUGCAAUAGAAUCCUGUGAACCCCGCCAGAUCCGGAAGGAAGCAACGGUAAGCAGUCAGUUCUAUGUGCCGCAGGAUCACCUAGCCCCA
rnacentral:SRP_RNA from 1 species